GCUUCAGCCUGGAGGCAAACGAUCCCUCGGUCAGAGCGGUCCAGCACCGUUGCUCAUCUUGUUGGGCAACUGGCUGAGUGCUUGUCAGUUACGGCUGCUCCUCAGCCAUGGGGGAGAGUUGUUCCCGCUGCCUCCGAGGCCAUCGUUCUCUCUGUAUUACUGUCCUUCUGUUGGGUUGGGUUCAGGGCUGCUGGAAAGGAUAAAAAAGGAUUUCACCCCCUCCCCCUUCGAUCUGUGCUGGGUGACUUGGCCAAACUCUCCAUCCCUCUCCCGGCCACCACUUCGUCCUCAUUAUGACAAGUUCCCAUUGUCGUCUGUCAGCGCUGUCAGAAACAUGUCAGGUGUAACCCCCCCGCCCCCCACUUGAUAAAUCCUUGGCUGUUAUCCCGGUUGACCCUCCAACUGCUCCAGUUGCUUCCUUUACGGGUCAACGCCAAACCCACCCUGUGGUUUUGUGGGCAGGGGCAACUGGUGGGCCUCAGUUCUGGUCAUGUGACUCCUAGUCCUUUCCAGUCCUCCCGCUGUAUCGCGCUUCUUCUCUACAAUGUUCUCAGAAUCUCCUGCUGCUGUUUCUGAAGUUGUUUUACAGACAUAAACUGGAAAUAGACAGGACGCUAUGAAAGGUACAGUCCCUUCUUCUUCCAUUGUCGCUGCUCUCUGCGGUAGAUGUGUCCGCUCAUUAAUGCGAUCCGAAAAGCUUAUUCAUCUGCCAGCAGAAUUUGGAGGAAAAAAGAAAUGGUUUCUGGUUUAUGCAACGACCAAGUAGCACACGAGCGGUGAAUGUAGGGAGGACACCCUCUUACCUUUUUUUAUUGUCUAAUCUUACUCUUUAUUUUCCCAGCAUUCUCCGCUAUUGCUCCCCUGUGCGUCCUCGUCCACUCCCCAUUUAUUUCCUUCACCCACUGACCUUUUUAUCUUCCUAAUCUCAGGCUCUUAUCGGCUCUAUUUGUGGCUGCAGAACGACACCUCGACCUUGUGUGUUUUCCCUGCACUAAAAAGGUGCGAGUGUGGGGGCCUGCAUCACUGGUAGGAGGUUAUGUUUGGCAAGAGGAAGUGGCUUUGAUCCCAACAGUCGUGGCACAUCUGGAUGCUUACCAUGCAGCCUGGGAGAGCACAGCUCGGGGGGACGGACCGUGUUUGGGAUAACGAGGGAAGUAAAAGGCAGAUUGCUACUUUGCUAAAGCUCGCACAAUUUGCUUGUCACAGAAAGAUUAAGCCAUUUUUUCUUUUUUGUUUAUUGUGUAAGUAAUGCAACUAUUGCCUUUUUAAAAUAAUCCCCAUUCUCAAAGUGUCAUUAAAAAUGGAGCUGUCAAUAGCGACAAUAUAUACUUGCCUCUGUCCUCUAACCUGUCCUCGGUUUCCCCCGUCUGUUUUUAAAUUUUUUAUUUACACAAGCCAACAUUUUAUUGUCUCUGUUUAAUUGGUGCUGUCGGUUCCUCGGGCUCAGUGUUCUGUGUGAAUGGUGUCUCAUGCUGCUGGUGGGGUUUCACAGGUCAAAAUCUAUCCCGUCUCUAGUCCUGCGUUCAUGGGCGUACAGAAUAAUCCUUUCAAACAAAAAGCUGCUGAGUUACGCCUGCAUGGCCAACCCUCAUCAAAGUGGGGAGAGGGUUUAAUAGUAGGCAUAUUUCCAUCCCCGGAAAUUGUUGUGGUCUGUCUGCAACAGUUUAUGGGGAAACCGGAGGCAAACAUUUUGGCCCUCACUUGUCUUUGUUGCACUGAGGCCUCAGUGUGGUCGGGAGGUAUGUCUGCAAACCUUGAUCUAGCUCUUGUCUUGCCGAGCGAGGGGCUAAAUUGAAAUCUCAUUUUAUUCAACCUUUCUCCACCGGCUUGGGGAGAACUGAUAUUUCUCCUCUACUAAAGCUGUCGCUUUCAAUAAUUAUAAUUCAAAGCACAAGAACAUCCCGGCCUCACCCCUCCCCAACCCCCCGUGCCCAGACCUUCUCUAUCAACCAGCUAAAAUAAAUCGUAUUAAAGGCUUUACCUAUUCACGCAGCCAUAAGACAAAUCGUUUGGUGUAAACUUUGAGGGUGAGGUCGUGUUGGGACCAAACAAAGCGGAUCAGAGGCCACUGAGGUGAACGGUGUGGUUGUCAACACUAGAUGGAGCUCAAAACCACAGUGGGCACAUGGCAGUUCAUAGGAUACCCUUGACUAAUAUCCACAAACAAAAGAGCACUAAGAAAGAGACGCUCCUCUUGUACUCUAUAUGCCUCUAUCUGUGUCCCAGAGUCCUUCUCCACCACCCAGUGUGUCCUUUGUUGGGUGCCCAGCUGAACGAAGCCCUUUGUGUGUGGCUAUGUUGAUUCCUUGGCUUUCUCUCCAUCUGUCUCAUGUACCUCACUGUGCUUUUGAACCUGAAAUGUGCACUGCAGCAUGAUAAAUGAGUUAUCUGCGGCUGAAUUAACUACCUUCACUGUUUAGCAUUGUUUGGUUUGAUACACACUGCAUGCCUCAUAUUAGACUGAGCCAUACCGUGACACUUUGUUGGCGGAGACACUAGUGCCUCCGCCAAUACUUUCUUUUGAUACGUCUUGUCAGUCAAAAGAU
ensembl:lncRNA